GACGAACGCUGGCGGCGUGCCUAACACAUGCAAGUAGAACGCACAGUUUAUACCGUAGCUUGCUACACCAUAGACUGUGAGUUGCGAACGGGUGAGUAACGCGUAGGUAACCUGCCUGGUAGCGGGGGAUAACUAUUGGAAACGAUAGCUAAUACCGCAUAAUAUUGAUUAUUGCAUGAUAAUUGAUUGAAAGAUGCUAUUGCAUCACUACCAGAUGGACCUGCGUUGUAUUAGCUAGUAGGUGAGGUAACGGCUCACCUAGGCGACGAUACAUAGCCGACCUGAGAGGGUGAUCGGCCACACUGGGACUGAGACACGGCCCAGACUCCUACGGGAGGCAGCAGUAGGGAAUCUUCGGCAAUGGACGAAAGUCUGACCGAGCAACGCCGCGUGAGUGAAGAAGGUUUUCGGAUCGUAAAGCUCUGUUGUAAGAGAAGAACGGGUGUGAGAGUGGAAAGUUCACACUGUGACGGUAUCUUACCAGAAAGGGACGGCUAACUACGUG
rnacentral:rRNA from 1 species